GACGUAGGGCGCGAGCGUUGUCCGGAUUUAUUGGGCGUAAAGAGCUCGUAGGCGGCUCGUUGCGUCGGCUGUGAAAAACCCGCAGCUCAACUGUGGGCUUGCAGCUGAUACGGGCGGGCUGGGAUUCGGUAGGGGAGACUGGAAUUCCUGGUGUAGCGGUGAAAUGCGCAGAUAUCAGGAGGAACACCGGUGGCGAAGGCGGGUCUCUGGGCCGAUACGAUGACGCUGAGGCGACGAAAGCGUGGGGAGCGAACAGG
rnacentral:rRNA from 1 species